GCAAACUUGGUCAUUUAGAGGAAGUAAAAGUCGUAACAAGGUUUCCGUAGGUGAACCUGCGGAAGGAUCAUUACCAAAUAAAACGUCCGGGGACUCGUUUCCCCGGCCGGGCGCCCCCCUAACCGGGGGCAUCCGUACACCCUUUGUGAAAAACCCAAGUUGCUUCGGCAGCUCGCCGCACCCCUAACCGGGAGCGGCGGUCAGCCUGCCGACGGCCCAAAAAUGAAACUCUUUGCAAGUUAGGAAUUUUAAUGUCUGACCAAAAUGUCGAAUGACUAUAAAACUUUCAACAACGGAUCUCUUGGUUCCCGCAUCGAUGAAGAACGCAGC
rnacentral:misc_RNA from 1 species